UACGUAGGGCGCAAGCGCUGUCCGGAAUUAUUGGGCGUAAAGAGCUCGUAGGCGGUUUGUCGCGUCUGCUGUGAAAACCUAAGGCUCAACCUUGGGCUUGCAGUGGGUACGGGCAGACUAGAGUGCGGUAGGGGUGACUGGAAUUCCUGGUGUAGCGGUGGAAUGCGCAGAUAUCAGGAGGAACACCCGUGGCGAAAGCGGCUCUCUGGGACGGUACUGACGCUGAGACGCGAAAGCGUGGGGAGCAAACAGG
rnacentral:rRNA from 1 species